rnacentral:snRNA from 1 species
AUACUUACCUGGCAGGGGAGAUACCAUGAUCACAAAGGUGGUUUUUCCAGGGUGAGGCUUAUCCAUUACACUCCGGAUGUGCUGAUCCCUGUGAUUUCCCCAAGUGUGGGAAACUUGACUGCAUAAUUUGUGGUAGUGGGAGACUGUGUUCGCGCUCUCCCCUG